rnacentral:rRNA from 1 species
UACGUAGGGUGCGAGCGUUGUCCGGAAUUACUGGGCGUAAAGAGCUCGUAGGUGGUUUGUCGCGUUGUUCGUGAAAACUCACAGCUUAACUGUGGGCGUGCGGGCGAUACGGGCAGACUGGAGUACUGCAGGGGAGACUGGAAUUCCUGGUGUAGCGGUGGAAUGCGCAGAUAUCAGGAGGAACACCGAUGGCGAAGGCAGAUCUCUGGGCCGUAACUGACGCUGAGGAGCGAAAGCGUGGGGAGCGAACAG